ACGGCUAUAUCACGUUAAAAAAACAGUUUUCGGACUUGACGUACGAUCACCGAAGUUAAGCAACGUCGAGCCUGGUCAAUACCUGGAUGGGUGACCGCUUGGGAAUACUAAGUGCUGUAU